UACGUAGGGGGCAAGCGUUGUCCGGAAUCAUUGGGCGUAAAGAGCGUGUAGGCGGCUUGGUAAGUCCGCUGUGAAAGUCCAGGGCUCAACCCUGGAAUGCCGGUGGAAACUGUCAAGCUUGAGUCCGGAAGAGGCGAGUGGAAUUCCUGGUGUAGCGGUGAAAUGCGCAGAUAUCAGGAGGAACACCGGUGGCGAAGGCGGGUCUCUGGGCCGAUACUGACGCUGAGGCACGAAGGCCAGGGGAGCAAACGGG
rnacentral:rRNA from 1 species